GUCACUUUGCCGGAGUGGUUAACGGGAUCGCCUGCUAUUUAUAGCCCAGCGGUUGGUCUUUGACCGCGAGUGUUCGAAUCGCUCAGGUGACG
rnacentral:tRNA from 1 species